rnacentral:rRNA from 1 species
GGGUUGUGAGGUUAAGCGACUAAGCGUACACGGUGGAUGCCCUGGCAGUCAGAGGCGAUGAAGGGCGUGCUAAUCUGCGAUAAGCGCCGGUAAGGUGAUAUGAACCGUUAUAACCGGCGAUACCCGAAUGGGGAAACCCAGUGUGAUUCGUCACACUAUCAUUAACUGAAUCCAUAGGUUAAUGAGGCGAACCGGGGGAACUGAAACAUCUAAGUACCCCGAGGAAAAGAAAUCAACCGAGAUUCCCCCAGUAGCGGCGAGCGAACGGGGAGGAGCCCAGAGCCUGAAUCAGCAUGUGUGUUAGUGGAAGCGUCUGGAAAGGCGCGCGAUACAGGGUGACAGCCCCGUACACAAAAGCGCAUGUGCUGUGAGCUCGAUGAGUAGGGCGGGACACGUGGUAUCCUGUCUGAAUAUGGGGGGACCAUCCUCCAAGGCUAAAUACUCCUGACUGACCGAUAGUGAACCAGUACCGUGAGGGAAAGGCGAAAAGAACCCCGGCGAGGGGAGUGAAAAAGAACCUGAAACCGUGUACGUACAAGCAGUGGGAGCACCCUUCGGGGUGUG